rnacentral:rRNA from 1 species
CCUACGGGAGGCAGCAGUGGGGAAUAUGGGACAAUGGGGGAAACCCUGAUCCAGCGACGCCGCGUGAGUGAAGAAGUAUUUCGGUACGUAAAGCUCUAUCAGCAGGAAAGAAAAUGACGGUACCUGACUAAGAUGCCCCGGCUAACUACGUGCCAGCCGCCGCGGUAAUACGUCGGGGGAAAGCGUUAUCCGGAUUUACUGGGUGUAAAGGGAGCGUAGACGGCAGCGCAAGUCUGGAGUGAAAUGCCGGGGCUCACCCCCGAAACUGCGCUGGAAACUGUGAAGCUUGAGUGCAGGAGAGGUAAGCGGAAUUCCUGGUGGAGCGGUGAAAUGCGUAGAUAUCAGGAGGAACACCGGCGGCGAAGGCGGCUUACUGGACUGUAACUGACGUUGAGGCUCGAAGGCGUGGGGAGCAAACAGGAUUAGAUACCCGGGUAGUC